CAGCAGCCCAACCCACUACACAAGCCGCCGAGGGUUUAGGGAGACCUCCUCCAAUCCGUGACGGUAGCCGCCGCCUGCCCCAACUGCGUCGCUGGCUGCCUACCUCUUGCCGCGCCUGCACUGCCGGCCGUCGCCACCAGUUCCACCUGCACCAUCUAGCCGCCACCACCGCGCAAGUGAGCACAAGUGAGGCUGGGCGCUGCAGGGGUGCACCUCGCCGUCGAGGGGAUCAGAGGCCGGCUGGAUCUUUUGAUCUGCCCAUGUCGACCCGAUGACCCCAACAUCAUCUCCAUGUCACCACCUAUUCUCCUCGCUAGUCGCCGCCCUAAUUGGGAGGUGUUGCACGGCAAAAACUGACGCACAGGGCUUGUUAGCAGUUACUAGAUUAUUGUCUGGUAACAUCGUAAUUUUUUCGGAGACAUCUUGCUGUACUAAAGGAUUUCAAGAGAAUGUUUUUUUAUGAGAACUCGAGAUAAUUGAAUAGCAAUGGAGAGGCAGCUUGAUCUGGCAAGAACUGAAGGGUGCAGUACUGCACAAGACAGUAACCUCUUUUUUAUGCCUUUCUCCAUUCAGCAAAAUUCAUGUUACAUAACCGAUUGAAUGAUCUUGGACACAAAUAAUGGGAGCAUCAUUUUGUUCUCAGAUUAUUCUAUUGGUUAUAUAUUUUGACAUUUUCAGUUCAAAUCUAUUUUAGUAUGAAUCAAGAUGAAUAUACUCCAUUGGCUUGACUAAAUUAUAGUCAGGUAGUAUUCCAAGUUUUCAUUAGUUCCUACAAGAUCGGUCAUUGAUGGGCUUGAUUUUUUGCCCGCAAGGCCACAACAAGUUGGAUGCAACACAAGAGCUAUUUCCAUAUCUGUAAAGCUAUUGCUGACACACUAUCUAAAUUGGAAUCAUAUGAAACUAGAUGGUGACAAAGCAUUCCUCCUUCCUUAAACAAAAUUUCUAGAUCAAUGGUGAGACAGAUGAGACUGGUGCAUCUAAAGACAAUACCUGCGAAUGUUGAUGGGAUCAUCAUCGUAUAACAAAGGAAUUUAUCCACUGCACCUCCAAGCACAUACUUAUAGAUCAAGUGUUUAAUUUUGAUAGACAUCAAGAUGUUGGUUCUGUUUGAAUGACUUAAUUAUUUAGCUGGAUGCGGUGAACAAAUUUUUAUUAUGUAUUGCAAUGAAUAAAUGUGGUUGAUUGUCUACGAUUGGUCAGAAUAUAAUGUAAAUGUUAUAUCCAUAUGGUGAUAAACAUGGAUGUUAAUUCCAAGAGCCGGUGCAGACUGCAAUUAUGUUUCUCUACUAUCAACAAUAGUGUACCGUAUUGUGUACCAUGUGGUGAUUAAAAAUUGGAUGUUAACGGAGGUGGUUA